GCCGGAAGUGGUGGUGUAUUCCUGUAAUAUAACUUACUCGGAGACUAGGUUAGAGAAUGUUUUGAGGGCGGGGAUUUCCGGAUUGGAUUUUCCACGUUGACUAGGCGUCCGCUAAGGGUAAAUUUUCAACUUGGAUGCCUUGGGGAAGCCCGAGGUAGGCAGGUUGAGUCUGAAAAGGGGAAAAAUCGGCCCAAAAGUCACCGAGUUGAGAGUUAUGGGUUCAAAUUCUGGGAAUGGGAGUUCAAUUUCAGCUCGUUCAAACAAGAACAGGCUUGUACCUAA
rnacentral:SRP_RNA from 1 species